GUCUCAUACGCAAAAUCCAGUAAUUCCAACAGGGAGACUAAGAACGCUCCCCGGGUCAUUUCUGCAUUGAGAUAUUGACUAUUAAUCAGCCUGGUAUCAUCAGUUCUGUGCACUGUUUCACUGCGCUGAGGACCACUGUGAGUCACAACUUUGAUACAGACUGGUUAUUGAGUGGAUUUUCAUCCAUUUGUUGAGCAACAACUACGAUGUUUUCAAACAAAGUUGGUGCUCCUAAAUCUUGUUGCUGCGUUGAUGAUCGCCUUUGAAGAAGAUGAAGUCCACCAGCAGAUGGGAGAAAGCAACACACAGGCCUCUGAAGAUUCUCUGGAGAAAGCAUGGUGUGGGAGGAAGCGCUCAUUUUCACAUGCAAACUCUGCUCCAUGCAAAAAAGAUUUCACUGAUGAUGGGAGAGACAGUGGAUCAAAGAUACCGCCUCACUUGAACUGCCCUCAAUUUCCUUGUGUUUACAGUAGAUGAUCUACUGCCUUUCCAGUUCUGUAAAUGGAUCAGAAAAACAUCCCCAUGCUGAAAGAGACUUGAAGGCAUUUGAACUUAGCUGUCUGGCAUAAACUCCAUAGCGAUGUCAGGUGGGUACUGUUCUUCUACUACUACCAUUUGGGUGAGGGUUGGCUGGUUAUUGCAAACCAGGAGUCAUGAGCACUGUGGGAGAGGGCAGUCGAAGAAGGCCUGCUGGAGUAAGCUAUAGGCCUGCACAGGCCAUCAGUGUUGUGCAGGAGGAGGAGAUCUGCAGCGUGAAGCUGUUGGUGCUGAGGGCCUAAUGUCCACAUUAAUGCAUUUUUGAGGUGUUGGACUAGCUCUGGUUUGGUCCCACACAUGCUGCUAGUGGCUGGAGCACGUGGAGGUGCUUCUGCUUUAGUUUCACCUCAAAGCAAUGUGGUUUGUGUGCUUUGAGGCUGCACCAUGGUUUGUCAGGAGAGUUGCUGCAAAAGCGCAUGCCUGAUCUGAACUACAAAUUAUUGUAGACACAGCUGUUAAAAGUCAAGUUUUUAAUCUCAUGAACAAGUAAAUGGAUAUGUAAAAACCUGGGAACAGGAUCUUUGAGCAAGUGGCAAUACUAAUUCUGUGACUUCAUAUUGCUAGCUAAAAUUGAGGCCUGCAAAAGAAUACCUGUUAAAACAUCUUUUACUGUUGUUGACUUGGUAGCAGAUACAAGAGAAAACAGAGAUGUAUUUUCUAGGGCUGAAACAAAAAGAAACAAGGGAAUCAGCAUUAAAGCAAGAGGAUAAGACUCUAGAAACACUACCACAAUAAUGUCUCUCUGAUAGCUGCAGAGAGCAUUUUGACAUAAGCUAUGGUGAAUAAGCCACUGGAUUCAAGACUGCAUGCAUAAAGUAGUUCUAGUCUACACUAUGAUUCGCAAAUGUUUAUAUAUGUGUGUGUGUGUGUGUACAAAUAAAUAAAUUCUCUGAACCAAAAUCUAGUUAUAUGAACUGAAGAAGAGAUGGUUCCUAAACAUGCUCAGGUACAGUAUCGUCGGUUGCCCGACUAAAGAGAUACAGAGGAAUGAGAUUAAGGGACCUGACAGCGCUCUGAGACAAGUGAACUCUAUGUUAUGGUGAGUGUAUCAGCAUAAGGGGGUGAAAAGGAUACCAUAAAGAAAGAAAAACACUGCAUACCUGCUCUAACAGUGUCUCAGAUAAUGUUUACUAUCGUCCCAAAUUUGAAAUGCUGUCAUUUUAAUAAAUGAUGAAAAUUCUGCCUAUUAAGCUAUGUUGUUCGGGUGUCACUGAAGCAACAUGAACUCCUACAAAUCUAAACAGACUUUCAGCAAAACAGAGUUCUCUAAAGCACUAACACAAUUAACUUACCACGUUGUUUUAUUGGGGGAGGGGAAAGCCUUUUAAAAAGUAAUACUUAAGCGUGUUGGUUUUUCUUUUUAAUAUGCAACACUCUCUCACAUCUUGUCUUUGCGGCUAAUCCUUUUUUUUUCUGGGAUGAAGGAAACUAUGAAUGUGGGUUGCUUAAUGGGUUCAAGUUACUUUGUAUUAAUUUGACUGUAAGAUAGCAUUGGAACUACAGUAUCAAGUGAAAAACUUGUGAACUCUAGUUAAGCACAUUUUGAUCCUGGUCAUAUUGGCUGCUUAAAGUGUACUUAAACACAGCUUGAACUGGUUUGGAUUUGUUAAGUUUGCCUCUUCUGUCAUUUCAUUUUUCUGACCUGAUUUGUAUUCCUGCCCUCCAGCUUAAUGUUGCUCAGAAAUCUCUUGUUCUCCUUCACAGUUAGGCAAAUGCCUUUGCUCUUUUUUACCUAAUCUUAAGCUAUUGAUCAGAUCCCUUCAUUAAAUAUUCAUUUUUUUUUAACCUGUCUGGGUCCAUCCCCUACUUUACUUUAAAUAGUGCAGUGCAGACUGACACCAUCUGAGAGUCCUGGCCGACCUUCUCAGCCCACUCCUGUUUCCAAGAGCAGGGCCUUAAACUGAGCCCUAAGGGGCCUGGGCUACUACACAGAUUUUGACUGUAGAAUCCGCAUUCCCAGACACCAGUAUAUUGUCCUUGAGUUCCAUUCCACUUGUUAAAGACUGGUGGCCUGUUAG